UACGUAGGAUGCAAGCGUUGUCCGGAAUUAUUGGGCGUAAAGAGCGCGCAGGCGGUCAUUCAAGUCCGAUGUGAAAUAUCCGGGCUUAACCUGGAGGGGUCAUUUGAAACUGGGUGACUAGAGUACAGCAGAGGAUAGCGGAAUUCCCGGUGUAGUGGUGAAAUGCGUAGAUAUCGGGAGGAACACCAGUGGCGAAGGCGGCUAUCUGGGCUGAAACUGACGCUGAGGCGCGAAGGCUAGGGGAGCAAACAGG
rnacentral:rRNA from 1 species